rnacentral:lncRNA from 1 species
UAGGUCGUUGUGUGCCAUAUGGGUUGGUUGUCCUCUUAACCAAGGAGUGUGGAGACACUGGUAUGGCAUACAGAUAAGAUGUAAGGGUACAUCUGCACUGAACGUGACCGACUCCAGAGCUUUUUCUGCUAUCAAGAUUUGCUCUGAUGGGAUAUGGAUAUAACUGUCCCUCCGACCUGAGACCGCCACGGUGACUUGCAAGCAACUCACUGCACUUAGGCACUGGACUAUCUGAAUUUCUAAUUCAGUGAUGGAAGGCUGCGGGGUGUAGUCAAGUACUUGACUUGUCGGUGCGUGUGUCAAGAUGGG